rnacentral:misc_RNA from 1 species
ACGCAGCCCGACUUGAGCGGAGCUCAUUUUUGUUAUUGCGAUUGUUGAAACUUUCUGUAGAUUGCUUCACUUCGUUCGCAAUGACAAAAAUAGCGGGAGCGGAAGGCGGAUAAAGC